UUCCCCCCCCCCAGUGGGAGGAGCUGAGCGGUCUGGACGAGGAGCGGCAGACGGCGGUUCGGACGUUCGAGCGGCCCUUCGGCGCAUCCGUCCGGAUGGGGGGGGGCGCGGUUUCCAUGGCGACGGGCCCGGAGAUCGGCCGGGGGGUCCCCGCGGCGACGGCGUCGGUGAUGGAUCGAGCGGCGUCCAUGGCAACGGCCCCGCUGAUGGACCGUGGGGUUCCCAUGGCAACGGCCCGAGCAACAGGCGGAGCCGCAGCGUCCGUAGCAACGGCCAUAGCAACGGGUUCAGGAACACGGAUGGCCGUAGCAACGGGUCCGGGAGCGUCAGUGUCCAUAGCGACGGCCCUAGCAACGGACCCAAGGGAUGCUGUGACCAUAGCAACGGGCUCAGGAACACCAAUGUCCAUAGCAACGGCCCUAGCAACGGCUCCAGGAGCAUCCAUGUCCAUAGCAACGGCCCUAGCAACGGCUCCAGGAACACGGAUGUCCAUAGCAACGGCCUUAGCAACAGGCGGAGCCGCAGUGUCCAUAGCAACGGCCCUAGCAACGGGCUCAGGAACACGGAUGUCCAUAGCAACGGCCCUAGCAACGGCUCCAGGAGCAUCCAUGUCCAUAGCAACGGCCCUAGCAACAGGCUCAGGAACACGGAUGCCCUUAGCAACGGCCCUAGCAACGGACCCAAGGGAUGCUGCGACCACAACAGCAGCCCCCCCGACAUCCCCCAAAGCCUCCGUUCCCAUAGCAACGGCGCCCAUAGCAACGCCUCCCGCCCCCGCCGCAGCCCCCUCCCCGCCCCCCCCCGGCCCUGCAAAGAAACUUUCAACGUUUUCUAUCACGAAUCGGACGCCGACACGGCGACGGCGUCGGCGCCCCCGUGGAUGGAGAACCCCUACGUCAAGGUGGACACGGUGGCGGCCGAGCAUCUCUCCCGGCCCAGCGGGGCGGGCGGUCGACCCUCGGGAAAAGUGAACAGAAAAAUUUUACGUUUAGGACCUUUGGGCCGCAAAGGUUUUUAUUUAGCCUUCCAGGACCUGGGAGCUUGUAUGGCUCUGCUGUCGGUCCGUCUGUACUUCCAGAGGUGUCCGUCCGUCGUGGCGAGGUUGGCGGAGUUUCCCGCGACCGUCCCGAAGGAAUUGGUGGCGGCUGUGAUGGGGAGAUGCGUGGAGGGGGCCGUGCCGGCGGGGAGCGGGGACCCCCCCACCAUGUACUGCAGAGAGGAUGGGAGAUGGGCUGAGCCCCCCACCCAGGGCUGCCUCUGUGGGGCCGGAUGGGAGCCCCAUGGGG
rnacentral:lncRNA from 1 species